GAUGAACGCUGGCGGCGUGCCUAAUACAUGCAAGUCGAGCGAACGGACGAGAAGCUUGCUUCUCUGAUGUUAGCGGCGGACGGGUGAGUAACACGUGGAUAACCUACCUAUAAGACUGGGAUAACUUCGGGAAACCGGAGCUAAUACUGGAUCAUAUUUUGAACCGCAUGGUUCAAAAGUGAAAGACGGUUUUGCUGUCACUUAUAGAUGGAUCCGCGCUGCAUUAGCUAGUUGGUAAGGUAACGGCUUACCAAGGCAACGAUGCAUAGCCGACCUGAGAGGGUGAUCGGCCACACUGGAACUGAGACACGGUCCAGACUCCUACGGGAGGCAGCAGUAGGGAAUCUUCCGCAAUGGGCGAAAGCCUGACGGAGCAACGCCGCGUGAGUGAUGAAGGUCUUCGGAUCGUAAAACUCUGUUAUUAGGGAAGAACAUAUGUGUAAGUAACUGUGCACAUCUUGACGGUACCUAAUCUGAAAGCCACGGCUAACUACGUG
rnacentral:rRNA from 1 species